rnacentral:rRNA from 1 species
UUUGCAAUAACCUCGGGAAACUGAGAAUAAUACUCGAUAGAUCAUUAUGCCUGGAACGGUUUAUGGUUCAAACGAAUUUCGCCAUAGGAUGGGACUGCGGUCUAUCAGCUUGAUGGUGAGGUAAUGGCCCACCAAGGCUAUUACAGAGACGGGCUCUGAGAGGAGAAGCCCGCGUAUGGGUACUGAGACACGGACCCAGGCCCUAUGGGGCGCAGCAGGCGAGAAAACUUUGCAAUGUGCGAAAGCACGACAAGGUUAAAUCGAGUGAUUCCUGCUAAAGGAAUCUUUUGUUAGUCAUAAUACCACUAAUGAAUAAGGGGUGGGCAAGUUCUGGCGUCAGCCGCCGCGGUAAAACCAGCACCUCAAGUGGUCAGGAUGAUUAUUGGCGCUAAAGCAUCCGUAGCCGGCAAUGUUAGUUUUCGGUUAAAUCUAUAUGCUCAACAUAUAGGCUGCCGGGAAUACUACAAAGCUAGGGAGUGGGAGAGGUAGACGGUACUCCGUAGGAAGGGGUCUGUAUCCUUUGAGUUAUGGAUGACCACCUGUGGCGAAGGCGGUCUACCAGAACACGUCCGACGGUGAGGGAUGAAAGCUGGGGGAGCAAACCGGAUUAGAUACCCGGGUAGUCCCAGCCAUAAACUAUGCAAACUCAGUGAUGCAUUGGCUUGUGGCCAGUGCAGUGCCGCAGGGAAGCCGUUAAGUUUGCCGCCUGGGAAGUACGUACGCAAGUGUUAAACUCGUAGGAAUUGGCGGGGGAGCACCACAAGGGGUGAAGCCUGCGGUUCAAUUGGAUUCAACUUUUGU